rnacentral:rRNA from 1 species
AUGAAGGGAUGGAAGCCCAAACUUCUGGCACCAGCGGGACGCCUCGCGCUGACAAGUUCAGUGCUCCUGGCGCUUCCCAUACACUUCUCGUCUGUUCUACCCCUGCCUGUUUGGGCGAUCAAGAUCAUUGAGCGAAGGUGUCGGGGUUUUGUCUGGAAAGGGGAGGAGGAGACCAACGGAGGACACUGCUUGCUCCCUUGGGCGCAAGUCUGCCGCCCGAAGGAAUUUGGUGGCCUCGGAAUAAUCAAUCUUAGGUAUUUUGGCACCGCACUCAGAUGCAGGUGGCCAUGGAUGAGGUGGGAUCAGGUGGAGAGGCCAUGGCUGAGGUUUCCCGAUCAGGUGGAGAAGGAAGUGGCGCAUAUCUUUUUCACAGCCAGCGUCGUAGCUUUGGGGGAUGGCAACACUGCCAAGUUUUGGACGGACAACUGGCUGCCAGAGCACAACAACAGAUGGAUCAAAGAUAUCAAGGGCGGUCUCUCCAGUAUGGCAUUAGCACAAUAUCUGCAGGUAUGGGACUUGGCACAUGACACUCAGCUGUCGCCAACCUCAUCAGACAAACUGCAGUGGAAGCUUACCGAUGAUCAGCGCUUCUCGGUCAAAAGUGCCUACGGACUGUUUUUCAUGGCCAAUGUCUGUUUCGCCUACAACAAGCCUAUUUGGAAGUCUAAGGCACCGCCGAGAUGCAAAUUCUUCAUGUGGCUGGUGGUGCACCAGCGCUGCCUCACUGCGGACAAUCUCAUUUGCCGUGGGUGGCCAUCAAAUGACUGUUGCCCUCUCUGCAUGACAGAGCAAGAGUGUUGUACACACCUGUUCGUGCAUUGCCGAUACACACAACAUUUGUGGCGAUGCUUCAAACGGUUCACAAGAGAUAACUUUAUCACGCCAGAUGCAAGUCACAGUAGCACGGAAGACUGGUGGCUGAAGGCUAGGAGCAGGGUGCCCAAGCUGGUUCGCAGAAACUUUGACACGGUCAUCAUUCUCAUCCACUGGAGGCUCUGGAAGGAAAGGAAUGCUAGGAUCUUUGACCACACCGCCAGUAGCGUCAAUAGAGUUUUGGACCAGAUUGGAGAAGAUCUUCAAGUCUGGAGGGCAGCGGGGUGUGUUGUUGAUCUUGCUAUGUAA